CUGGGAUUAAAGGCGUGCGCCACCACGCCCGGCUGGCAUUUUCUUAAUUAGUGAUUGGAGGAAGGCUCCAGCCACUGUGCCUGGUGCCAUCCCUGGGCUGACAGAAAGCAAGCUGAGCAAGCCAGGGGAAGCAAGCCAAUAAGUAACAUCCUCAUGGCCUCUGCAUCAGCUCCUGCCUCCAGGGUCCUGCCCCGCUUGAGUACCUGUCCUGAUCUUCAAGGGUGAACAGCGAUGUGGAAGGGUCAGCCAAGUAAACCCUUUCCCUCCAAAUUGCUUUUUGGUCAUGGUGUUUCCUCGAAGAAUAGAAACCCUAAGACAAGGAGAUGAUAAGAGUGGAGGGUUUGACAAGGAAGAGGAGAUGCCAUUGAGGGAGGAGGUGACAGUGAGGGAGGGGAGCUGACAGGAAGGAGUUACCUAGAACGGGAGUGGAUAGCAGGGUGGCAGGGGUGUGUUGCUCCAGUGGCGGCCAGCAAGAGCCCUGGUUCCUUUGCCCUUUGGUGCCCUUCUUUCUUCUGUUACCACACCUUCUGUUUUCUGCUCCCAGCCUGCCAACUGCCACUCGUCUCCGUGAGGGAUCCUCUGAUGCCAGAGCAGCUUUCCCUCUGCAUCCACUGGGGCAGCCUAGGUUUGCAGUCUGGCUCUGGCCUUGCCGACUCCAUUGGUCAGGGUCUCUCACUGAACCUGGAACUUAUCAGUUCAGAUCAUCAUGGUGGCAAGUAACCCGAUCAGGAAACUCCCUCACAUGCGUGCCCAGCAGCUUGUGUUCUAGUUGAUACCAGAUGCAGUCGGUUUGACAACCAAGACUGACCACCACACUGCCCUUCCACCCCAGACUUCACAGAAGUAACCCCUGAGGGUCAGAGGAGUUCUUUGAUGGCCUGAGCCACACAGUGGUGAGUACAGAACUGGACCUACCUGCUCCUGCCUUCCUCUACUUGCCCUUUUUAGACCCACGGCUUCAGGGCGGCACACACCCUGAGAUGUGAUGUGAGGAGUUGAGGAAGGCUAGAGACAUAGCCUGGAGUGUCAGCAUGGCCUGGCUCCAGCCAGAUACCCUGAGUUGCUAGGCCCUGACCUCAGGAAAAGACCCCCAUGCACCUGUCACCAAUUGUAGGGCAGUGGGCGCUGGGGGAAUAAAGGGAGUGGGAGAAAACCCGCGUCCCGCCAGAGUUCCGGUGCUCUGGGUGGGUGGACGCAGGAGGACUGCCGCAUGAGGACUGCCACACACUUUCCAC